rnacentral:rRNA from 1 species
CCUACGGGAGGCAGCAGUGAGGAAUAUUGGUCAAUGGACGAGAGUCUGAACCAGCCAAGUAGCGUGAAGGAUGACUGCCCUAUGGGUUGUAAACUUCUUUUAUAUGGGAAUAAAACGUUCCACGUGUGGGAUUUUGUAUGUACCAUAUGAAUAAGGAUCGGCUAACUCCGUGCCAGCAGCCGCGGUAAUACGGAGGAUCCGAGCGUUAUCCGGAUUUAUUGGGUUUAAAGGGAGCGUAGGUGGAUUGUUAAGUCAGUUGUGAAAGUUUGCGGCUCAACCGUAAAAUUGCAGUUGAAACUGGCAGUCUUGAGUACAGUAGAGGUGGGCGGAAUGCGUGGUGUAGCGGUGAAAUGCUGAGAUAUCACGAAGAACUCCGAUUGCGAAGGCAGUUCACUGGACUGCAACUGACACUGAGGCUCGAAAGUGUGGGUAUCAAACAGGAUUAGAUACCCUUGUAGUC